AUUGAACGCUGGCGGCAGGCCUAACACAUGCAAGUCGAGCGGAUGAAGGGAGCUUGCUCCUGGAUUCAGCGGCGGACGGGUGAGUAAUGCCUAGGAAUCUGCCUGGUAGUGGGGGAUAACGUCCGGAAACGGGCGCUAAUACCUCAUACGUCCUGAGGAGGAACGUGGGGAUCCUUGGUCCUUACGGUUUUCGGUUUACCUAAGUCGGAUUAGCUAGUUGGUGGGGUUAAGGCCUACCAAGGCGACGAUCCGUAACUGGUCUGAGAGGAUGAUCAGUCACACUGGAACUGAGACACGGUCCAGACUCCUACGGGAGGCAGCAGUGGGGAAUAUUGGACAAUGGGCGAAAGCCUGAUCCAGCCAUGCCGCGUGAGUGAAGAAGGUCUUCGGAUUGUAAAGCACUUUAAGUUGGGAGGAAGAGCAGUAAGUUAAUACCUUGCUGUUUUGACGUUACCAACAGAAUAAGCACCGGCUAACUUCGUG
rnacentral:rRNA from 1 species